AUGAGUCAACUGCGAACUAAUUGCGUUCUAGCGCCCUCUGUCGUCAUAUUGAAGGGGUUUCAUGACAUGACGCUUCCAUCAAACUUUGCACUAAAUAGUUUAUAGGCUACAGGAGAGCUUAGGCUAUAAUUAGCGGUUUUGAAGUUUUUACUUAAAAGAACAUGCAAAUGACGACGUAAACGUUUUCGAAAAUGAAGCCAAAUUCUGUUGGCGGGGAAAAUGUGCGGUCACCGUCUGGUGGUGAUGAUUCCACUUCGUUGUGCAUCAGCCUCUGAUUCCAUUACGUUUUCACAUGGGGCCUCCUACAGUAGACUACUUUCACCUCGCAUACGGAAUAUUCCGCUGACGGCAGAUAGCUCUGAUGAUCACUGCUUCUCCCUGCGAGCGACCCCUCACUCCAACCAUCAGAGAGCAGAGGAAAGUCAGCCACCUCCACUUGAACUCUGAAGAGCCGCUGCGUUGUUAUUCACUUCACAUUGUGGAGCAUGGCAACGACAAUCACCACAGGCAGCGAAGCUUCUCUGGGUAACAGUUUGAACACCAGCCAAGAGGAGCUCCGCCCAGCGGGCAUCUCGCUGACAGCUAAAGAGCGGCUGGGAGACACGGUGGAUCUUCAGAGCUUCAUCGACAGCUUGGACCGGGAGCUCUCUGAGAUGUGAACGGAGAGGGGAACACAGCAGAGAGAGAGCGGGAGAGAGAGAGAGAGUGAGAGACUCCGCAGACCCCAGCAGGGUCAGAUCCAGGGAAGAGGACGGGAUCCAGGGGAGAGGGGGGAAGGAGUGAGGAGAGGGUCCAUCUGCCACAGAGCAUGAGAGGGCUGCAUCUAGAGAGUUGGGGGGCCUUGUUUGUGCCACGUUUUCAAAUUCCCUCGAAUGCCACGCCAGUAAUCCGCUUGCAAUCCUUCUGGCAAUUUCUUUUUUUUUUAUAAAAUGAUGAAUUCCUUUCUGUCUUGAUGCAUUUCCACCAGCUGGGCUUUAAGACCGUCUUGCAUUUUUAAGAAGGAGCUGAUGUUUAUGUUCGGAUGGCAAUGAAUUUAGUCUGAAUUUUUUGUUCAUAUUGUUUCAUAUUGUAUAGUUUGUGCAAUUGUCAAACUUUGACGCUCUCGUCACCAUCAUAUUCGACAGAAAAGUGGACAAAUUAAAACAACUUUUAAUGAUAUUGCUAUUGUAUUAUUUCCUCCUGUGUCAUAUUACAUGUAGUUUUUAAUACUUCUUACAGCGACAGCAGUGACAGUAAUAUAUUAAAAGAUAAUCCCAAAAUAAUAAGCAUAUUUAACGUCACAUCCAUCUGUACACAGUGAAGAAAAGAAAAAAG
ensembl:lncRNA